UGCAAGUCGAACGGCAGCGCGAGAGAGCUUGCUCUCUUGGCGGCGAGUGGCGGACGGGUGAGUAAUAUAUCGGAACGUGCCCAGUAGCGGGGGAUAACUACUCGAAAGAGUGGCUAAUACCGCAUACGCCCUACGGGGGAAAGGGGGGGAUCGCAAGACCUCUCACUAUUGGAGCGGCCGAUAUCGGAUUAGCUAGUUGGUGGGGUAAAGGCUCACCAAGGCAACGAUCCGUAGCUGGUUUGAGAGGACGACCAGCCACACUGGGACUGAGACACGGCCCAGACUCCUACGGGAGGCAGCAGUGGGGAAUUUUGGACAAUGGGGGAAACCCUGAUCCAGCCAUCCCGCGUGUAUGAUGAAGGCCUUCGGGUUGUAAAGUACUUUUGGCAGAGAAGAAAAGGUAUCCCCUAAUACGGGAUACUGCUGACGGUAUCUGCAGAAUAAGCACCGGCUAACUACGUGCCAGCAGCCGCGGUAAUACGUAGGGUGCAAGCGUUAAUCGGAAUUACUGGGCGUAAAGCGUGUGUAGGCGGUUCGGAAAGAAAGAUGUGAAAUCCCAGGGCUCAACCUUGGAACUGCAUUUUUAACUGCCGAGCUAGAGUAUGUCAGAGGGGGGUAGAAUUCCACGUGUAGCAGUGAAAUGCGUAGAUAUGUGGAGGAAUACCGAUGGCGAACGCAGCC
rnacentral:rRNA from 1 species